rnacentral:tRNA from 1 species
AAUUCCGUAGCUCAGUUGGUAGAGCAAUACACUUUUAAUGUAAUGGGUCCUGGGUUCGAGUCCCAGCGGGAUCA